UACGUAGGGUGCGAGCGUUGUCCGGAAUUAUUGGGCGUAAAGAGCUCGUAGGCGGCUUGGCAAGUCGGGUGUGAAACCUCCAGGCUCAACCUGGAGACGCCACUCGAUACUGCCAUGGCUAGAGUCCGGUAGGGGACCACGGAAUUCCUGGUGUAGCGGUGAAAUGCGCAGAUAUCAGGAGGAACACCGGUGGCGAAGGCGGUGGUCUGGGCCGGCACUGACGCUGAGGAGCGAAAGCGUGGGGAGCAAACAGG
rnacentral:rRNA from 1 species